rnacentral:rRNA from 1 species
CCAUGCGAGUCGAGAGGGUUCGGCCCUCGGCGAACUGCUCAGUAACACGUGNGANAAUCUAACCUUAGGUGGAGCAUAACCUCGGGAAANUGAGNAAUAAUACUCCAUAGAUCUUUGAGGCUGGAAUGCGCUUAGAUUGAAAGCUUCGGCGCCUAAGGAUGAGUCUGCGGACUAUCAGGUAGUAGUCAGGGUAAAGACCUGACUAGCCUACGACGGAUACGGGUUGUGAGAGCAAUAACCCGGAGAUGAUAUCUGAGACACGAUAUCAGGCCCUACGGGGCGCAGCAGGCGCGAAAACUUCACAAUGCGCGAAAGCGCGAUGAGGGGAUCCCAAGUGCUUGCACGUAAGUGUAAGCUGUUUUUCUGUCUAAAAAGCAGAGAGAGUAAGGGCUGGGUAAGACGGGUGCCAGCCGCCGCGGUAAUACCUGCAGCUCAAGUGGUGGCCGCUAUUAUUGGGCCUAAAACGUCCGUAGCCGGCUGAGUAAAUGCCUGGGUAAAUCGUGUGGCUUAACCAUACGAAUUCCGGGUAGACUGCUCAGCUUGGGACCGGAAGAAGUUAGAGGUACUCCUGGGGUAGGGGUGAAAUCCUGUAAUCCUGGGGGGACCACCAGUGGCGAAGGCGUCUAACUAGGACGGGUCUGACGGUGAGGGACGAAGCCCUGGGGCGCAAACCGGAUUAGAUACCCGGGUAGUCCAGGGUGUAAACGCUGCUUGCUUGAUGUUAGCUGGGCUCCGAGCUCGGCUAGUGUC